GAUGAACGCUGGCGGCGUGCUUAACACAUGCAAGUCGAACGGAAAGGCUCCUGCUUGCAGGGGUACUCGAGUGGCGAACGGGUGAGUAACACGUGGGUGAUCUGCCCAGCACUUCGGGAUAAGCCUGGGAAACUGGGUCUAAUACCGGAUAGGACGAUGGUUUGGAUGCCAUUGUGGAAAGUUUUUUCGGUGUGGGAUGAGCUCGCGGCCUAUCAGCUUGUUGGUGGGGUAAUGGCCUACCAAGGCGUCGACGGGUAGCCGGCCUGAGAGGGUGUACGGCCACAUUGGGACUGAGAUACGGCCCAGACUCCUACGGGAGGCAGCAGUAGGGAAUAUUGCACAAUGGGCGCAAGCCUGAUGCAGCGACGCCGCGUGGGGGAUGACGGCCUUCGGGUUGUAAACUCCUUUCGCUAGGGACGAAGCGCAAGUGACGGUACCUGGAGAAGAAGCACCGGCUAACUACGUG
rnacentral:rRNA from 1 species